rnacentral:lncRNA from 1 species
GGGAAACUGAAGUAACUUGCCAGCCCAGUGGUAUGUAAGUGGCAGAACCGGGACUUCAACCCCAGGCUCCACUCUUCCUGGUAGGUCAAGACGCCAUGCCAGAAGGACAGAGCCCAAGUGAGAUCCUCGGUCACUCCUCCCAAGGACCUGCUGUGGGGAAGUCUGCAACGUCAAGAGGAGUAUCAGGAAAGAUGCUUGGAAAGUGACAAGUUGGAAACAGAAAUUUGAAGAUACCUCUUCUCUAGCAUCAGGCAACAGCAGAGUUAGCGACUCCUCACAGUACAACAUGACCUCCUGCAGAGGAAUGCUUGCAGCCUCCACCAAGGUCUCAGAAUCACCUCUCCCUGGAGGAACCAACAAGCACAAGAGGACUUUAAGGUGACAAAACGAAGAAUGAAAGCUUUUCAGCUUUCCUGGCAAGCUUUCUGAGGUGACAGGGUUGGGUGAGAGUCACUAUGCAAGUCUGGCAAAUCUACCCGAUGCUGGGCCCUUAGAGGCUUUAGGCCACUUUUUAAAGUCAUUCAAAAUAAAGUAAAAUUGAUGUAGGGUGUUAUGAACUGA